UACGGAGGAUGCGAGCGUUAUCCGGAUUCAUUGGGUUUAAAGGGUGCGCAGGCGGGUAUAUAAGUCGGAGGUGAAAUUCUGAUGCUCAACAUCAGCCGUGCCUUCGAUACUGUAUAUCUAGAGUCAAGUUGGAGUAGGCGGAAUGUGUUGUGUAGCGGUGAAAUGCUUAGAUAUAACACAGAACACCGAUCGCGAAGGCAGCUUACUAAACUUUGACUGACGCUCAUGCACGAAAGCGUGGGGAUCAAACAGGAUUAGAUACCCUGGUAGUCCACGCUGUAAACGAUGAUUACUCGCUGUUGGCGAUACACAGUCAGUGGCUAAGCGAAAGUGAUAAGUAAUCCACCUGGGGAGUACGACGGCAACGUUGAAACUCAAAGGAAUUGACGGGGGCCCGCACAAGCGGAGGAGCAUGUGGUUUAAUUCGAUGAUACGCGAGGAACCUUACCAGGGCUAGAACGCAAGUUGAUUAUGUGCGAAAGUAUAUAUCUCUUCGGAGCAAUUUGCGAGGUGCUGCAUGGUUGUCGUCAGCUCGUGCCGUGAGGUGUCAGGUUAAGUCCUAUAACGAGCGCAACCCCUACUCUUAGUUGCCAGCAUGUCGUGAUGGGGACUCUAAGAGAACUGCCUACGCAAGUAGAGAGGAAGGUGGGGAUGACGUCAAAUCAGCACGGCCCUUAUGUCCUGGGCUACACACGUGCUACAAUGGUCGGUACAGAGGGCAGCUACCUGGUGACAGGAUGCUAAUCUCAAAAGCCGGUCUCAGUUCGGAUCGGAGUCUGCAACUCGACUCCGUGAAGUUGGAUUCGCUAGUAAUCGCGCAUCAGCCAUGGCGCGGUGAAUACGUUCCCGGGCCU
rnacentral:rRNA from 1 species